GGCCAGGUGGCGGAGUGGUUAACGCGCAGCACUCGAAUCAACUCAAGUAUUUGAAAUGCUGUUCCUUCGGGAGCGUCUGUUCGAAUCAGGCCCUGGUCG